rnacentral:lncRNA from 1 species
AGGGCUUGCAGCGGAAAGGUUUGUUCUUGAGGCUCUUGCACUUGUCCUCGGAGCUUUCCGGAGUUCCCGGAGCUUCCAACGGGACAUCUUUGUCCGUGCUGGGAGUCUCAGGUGGGGGACAAGCGUCCGGGCCUUGGGUUUCCACACCGGGUGCUUCCAGAGAGCUCAAUUCCACGUUUUCCGGGGCGUCACGGUCGCUCUCCACAGCGUGGCUAUCCUCCACGCCCUCCGCGUCGCUGUCUGAGAAGUUGCCGUCGCCCACCGUGGUCAGCUCGGCCAUCUGCCUCUCCUCUCCCACCAGGUAAUCGCAGCAGUUGCCGUUCACCUCUCCCGUCAGGGCCACGUUGGCCAACAUGAUCAGCUGCGGGGCCGCCAGUUCGGCUUUGGAAAGGUCGUGCAAGUCAUACAUGUCGUUGGACAACGCCAUGCCGAUGUUAGAGCCGCCGGGAAAGAGGCCGUUCCCACCGGACUGUCCCAGCACUUGAGUCGCCAUAGCAGCGAUUCGGCGGCUCGAGGCCGGCCGGCCGCGGGGCUGCUGCGGGACGCGGAGCGGGGAGGCGGCGCUGCGGGCGGGAGGCGCCGCGCAUUCCAGCACACAGCGCGCAGCGGCGGCACCGCCCCGCCCCGCCCGCCCCCACCGGAGCCGCCGGCCCCGCCCCGACACCGGCACCGCCCCGACACCGGCACCGCGCCCG